UACGUAGGGUGCGAGCGUUAAUCGGAAUUACUGGGCGUAAAGCGUGCGCAGGCGGUUCGUUGUGUCGGCGGUGAAAGCCCCGGGCUUAACUUGGGAAUUGCGCUCGAAACUACUUUGCUGGAGUGUGGCAGAGGAAGGUGGAAUUCCACGUGUAGCGGUGAAAUUCGUAGAUAUUCGCAAGAACACCAGUGGCGAAGGCGGCUCACUGGCCCGAUACUGACGCUGAGGCACGAAAGCGUGGGGAGCAAACAGG
rnacentral:rRNA from 1 species